rnacentral:rRNA from 1 species
GAUGAACGCUGGCGGCGUGCCUAAUACAUGCAAGUCGAGCGAACAGACGAGGAGCUUGCUCCUCUGACGUUAGCGGCGGACGGGUGAGUAACACGUGGAUAACCUACCUAUAAGACUGGGAUAACUUCGGGAAACCGGAGCUAAUACCGGAUAAUAUAUUGAACCGCAUGGUUCAAUAGUGAAAGACGGUUUUGCUGUCACUUAUAGAUGGAUCCGCGCCGCAUUAGCUAGUUGGUAAGGUAACGGCUUACCAAGGCAACGAUGCGUAGCCGACCUGAGAGGGUGAUCGGCCACAAUGGAACUGAGACACGGUCCAGACUCCUACGGGAGGCAGCAGUAGGGAAUCUUACGCAAUGGGCGAAAGCCUGACGGAGCAACGCCGCGUGAGUGAUGAAGGUCUUCGGAUCGUAAAACUCUGUUAUUAGGGAAGAACAAAUGUGUAAGUAACUAUGCACGUCUUGACGGUACCUAAUCAGAAAGCCACGGCUAACUACGUG